AUUGAACGCUGGCGGCAGGCCUAACACAUGCAAGUCGAACGGUAGCACAGAGAGCUUGCUCUCGGGUGACGAGUGGCGGACGGGUGAGUAACGUCUGGGAAACUGCCCGAUGGAGGGGGAUAACUACUGGAAACGGUAGCUAAUACCGCAUAACGUCGCAAGACCAAAGUGGGGGACCUUCGGGCCUCACACCAUCGGAUGUGCCCAGAUGGGAUUAGCUAGUAGGUGGGGUAAUGGCUCACCUAGGCGACGAUCCCUAGCUGGUCUGAGAGGAUGACCAGCCACGCUGGAACUGAGACACGGUCCAGACUCCUACGGGAGGCAGCAGUGGGGAAUAUUGCACAAUGGGCGCAAGCCUGAUGCAGCCAUGCCGCGUGUAUGAAGAAGGCCUUCGGGUUGUAAAGUACUUUCAGCGGGGAGGAAGGCGGUGAAGUUAAUAACUUCACCGAUUGACGUUACCCGCAGAAUAAGCACCGGCUAACUCUGUGCCAGCAGCCGCCGUAA
rnacentral:rRNA from 1 species